GAGGGAUUAGCUCAAAUGGUAGAGCGUCCACUUUGCAUGCGGGAGGUACUGGGAUCGGCGCCCGGAUUCUCCA
rnacentral:tRNA from 1 species